rnacentral:piRNA from 1 species
AGGGAUUAAGAACUUGACUCCUCU